UACGGAGGAUGCAAGCGUUAUCCGGAAUGAUUGGGCGUAAAGCGUCCGCAGGUGGCAAUGUAAGUCUGCUGUCAAAGCGUCUGGCUCAACCAGAUAAAGGCAGUGGAAACUACAUAGCUAGAGUAAGGUAGGGGUAGAGGGAAUUCCUGGUGUGAGCGGUGGAAAUGCGUAGAGAUCAGGAAGAACACCGGUGGCGAAAGCGCUCUGCUGGACCUUAACUGACACUGAGGGACGAAAGCUAGGGGAGCGAAUGGG
rnacentral:rRNA from 1 species